GAUGCAACAAGACAUCACAAAGGGAAAUCCAUGUCACUCUCUACUUUGUCAAGUGUCAUUGUCAUCACCAAGAAGAACCAUCUAUGACCCCCAAGUAAAUAAACAGAAACGUCAUUCACUUAACCUCAUGCCUGCUGCUUUCUUAUACCUAAAUACAUCAUCAUCCUUGUAGUGAUUUGCAUACGAAAGCAAGAGAUCAUAUGAUCUAAUCAUGUUAUAUGUUAUAAAACUAAAGAAAGUAACACUAGUUGCUCCUUUUUUAGUGUACUAAAUUAAGAUACAGUCGACCACAAGCCUAUGUACCUGAACGAGAUAACAUAAAUUAACCAGAGAAUAUGAAAAAUUCCAUCUCCUUGAAGUCAUAUAUAUUGAGACAACUUGGUGAAACGCAUUGUCAUUCACCAUUUGAGUAACG
rnacentral:lncRNA from 1 species